GACGUAGGGCGCGAGCGUUGUCCGGAUUUAUUGGGCGUAAAGAGCUCGUAGGUGGCUUGUCGCGUCGUCCGUGAAAACCCACAGCUCAACUGUGGGCUUGCGGUCGAUACGGGCAGGCUAGAGUUCGGUAGGGGAGACUGGAAUUCCUGGUGUAGCGGUGAAAUGCGCAGAUAUCAGGAGGAACACCGGUGGCGAAGGCGGGUCUCUGGGCCGAUACUGACGCUGAGGAGCGAAAGCGUGGGGAGCGAACAGG
rnacentral:rRNA from 1 species